CACUGGAACCAGUCUGGACUGUGGC
rnacentral:piRNA from 1 species